rnacentral:rRNA from 1 species
UGUGUAACCAAAGGUUCCGUAGGUGAACCUGCGGAAGGAUCAUUGUCGAGACCGAAAUACAUCGAGCAAUUGUGAGAACCUGUCAACAUAAGUGGUGGCUACUGCUAAUCCAUUCCAAUCAUUGCCUUGUCCCCUCUUUGCGGUUGGGAUGUGAUGAAGGAUGGGUGAACCCUCAAACCGGCGCAGCAUCGCGUCAAGGGAAAAAUCAAAACACAAGUCCAAAAAUGGGUUUUGUGGCAUGGGGUGCUUUUGCUGGCCCCUUAUGGAUUGACACGACUUUCGGCAAUGGAUAUCUCGGCUCUCGCAUCGAUGAAGAGCGCAGCGAAAUGCGAUACGUGGUGCGAAUUGCAGAAUCCCGUGAACCAUCGAGUCUUUGAACGCAAGUUGCGCCCGAGGCCAAUCGGCCAAGGGCACGUCUGCCUGGGCGUCAAGCAUUUUAUUGCUCCGUGUCUACUCACCCAUCGAUGGAUGUGCUGGUGUAGGCUCGGAUGUGCAUGCUGGCUCGUCGUUCUCCCAGGUGCGGCGGGCUGAAGAGCGGGUCAUCCUCUCGUUUGCGGCGAACAAUAAGGGGUGGAUUGAAGAGAGGUCUAUGCUAUUGUGCCGUGCAUGCCUGAGAGAUGAUUAACUUUUUUGUGAUCCCAAAUCAUGCAUCGAUCCAUGGAUGAUGCUUUGAAUGUGACCCCAGGAUGGGCGAGGCUACCCGCUGAGUUUAAGCAUAUCAAUAAGCGGAGGAGAGAAAACCUUACACA